rnacentral:rRNA from 2 species
UUUAAAUAGCUGCAGUAAUUUAACUGUACAAAGGUAGCAUAAUAAUUAGUCUUUUAAUUGGGGUCUGGUAUGAACGGUUUAACAAAGUAAAAUCUUUAUUAUUUUAAUAAAAUUGAAUUUAAUUUUUUAGUUAAAAAGCUAAAAUUUUUAAGUGGGACGAUAAGACCCUAUAGAUCUUUAAUUUUUAUACAUAAAAUGAAUUUAGUAAAUUUAAAGAUUUUAUAUAAUAAAAAUUUUCGUUGGGGUGACGUUAAAAAUUUUAAAACUUUUAAUUAUUUUUACAUAAAUUUAUGGUUAAAUGAUCUUAAAUUUUAGAUUAUAAAAUUAAGAUACCUUAGGGAUAACAGCGUAAUAAAUUUGGAUAGUGCAUAUUGAUAAAAUUUGUUUACGACCUCGAUGUUGAAUUAAUUUAAAAUUUUGAAGCAGAAAUCAAAAAUUUAGGUCUGUUCGACCUUUAAAAAUUUACA